rnacentral:rRNA from 1 species
GUAGUCCACGCCGUAAACGAUGUCGACUAGCCGUUGGGAACCUUAGAGUUUCUUGUGGCGCAGCUAACGCGAUAAGUCGACCGCCUGGGGAGUACGGCCGCAAGGUUAAAACUCAAAUGAAUUGACGGGGGCCCGCACAAGCGGUGGAGCAUGUGGUUUAAUUCGAUGCAACGCGAAGAACCUUACCACCCCUUGACAUCCUGCGAACUUUCUAGAGAUAGAUUGGUGCCUUCGGGAGCGCAGAGACAGGUGCUGCAUGGCUGUCGUCAGCUCGUGUUGUGAAAUGUUGGGUUAAGUCCCGUAACGAGCGCAACCCUUGUCCUUAGUUGCCAGCGAGUAAUGUCGGGAACUCUAAGGAGACUGCCGGUGACAAACCGGAGGAAGGUGGGGACGACGUCAAGUCAUCAUGGCCCUUACGGGGUGGGCUACACACGUGCUACAAUGGCCGGUACAGACGGUUGCAAACCCGCGAGGGGGAGCCAAUCCGAGAAAACCGGUCGUAGUCCGGAUUGCAGUCUGCAACUCGACUGCAUGAAGUCGGAAUCGCUAGUAAUCGCGGAUCAGCAUGCCGCGGUGAAUA